ACAAGGGCUUUAUUGAAUAAUUGAAACUGGGCUUUAUUCAGGCGCAUUAAAAAACUUGCGUUCUUUUUAUGGACAUCGUCCCGUGAUCGUGGUUGAUCCGUCUCAGCGGAAACAUCUCUCUCGCUCUGUCUCUCUCUCUCUCUCUGUCUAGGGUUUAUACAUUUCAAUGGAAAAACAGAGUCCCCAACCAGUGUGUGGCCAAGAAGCUCUCAAUCUUCUGAAUUGCGUCGCGGAUUCACAGUUCAAUCAAGAGAAAUGUCUCCGAUUCUUGCAAUCCCUCAGAGAAUGUGUUCUCUCAAAGAAAGUUAAGAAUUUCUCGAUACCGGGUCAAGACCAUGUCUCUGAGGGAGCAGCUUCAGCUACAAAGAAACCUUCAUAACCUUCUUCUGUUCCUAUUUUUCUUGUAUCUUUUUGAGUUGUAAUCACAUAGUUGAUUUGUCAGUUCCUAUUUUUCUUGUAUCACAUAUUUCUUGUAUCUUCAUAACCCCUCCCUCAAUCAAUGGUUUGUCAGUUCCGACCUUUGUUAUAAUCUCAUGAGUACGAUUCGGGUCUUA